GUCAAGAUAGCUUAAAAUAAAGUAAAAUAUUGAAAAUAUUUAGAUACAAAUCAGUUCUAGACA
rnacentral:tRNA from 1 species